CAGAAAAAGCCAGAAGUGGCGCUGUGGCUCAAAUGGUAGAAGCACUGGCCUUAAGCACAGGAAGGUUCAGGGAUGCUCCCAGGACCAGAGUUCAAACCCCAGAAUGACCAACACCAAAAAAAAAAAAGUUAUUUAGGCUGUUUAAUACUACUUUGAAACAACAAAAAAUAAAAAUAAAAUCUCUGUAAGGAACCACUCCAUUUAUCAAUGGAUGUUAGAAGACUGUCUUAAAAAUGUAACAAUUGUAACCCAUUAACAAGUCGAUUAAAUUCCUUUAACAAUAAGAAAAACUUUUUCACACACAUAUUGUUUUCAUGCCCCACUCAUUUAGUAUAUUAUUGUAUGUACACGUUCAUUCUAAUUGUUCAAAUGGCACAAAAAAAUGAAAAAAAUUGUUUAUGCAUCUAAUGGUUAUGAAUGCAAACAUCACACAAGGCAGGACAACAAAAUUGGGGGGGAGGGGAUCCCAAAGGAGUAAAAAAAAAGCCUCGGUUUAAAGCAAAAAGUAUAAACACACAUCACAUGUCUAACUCGGGCACAUUUUCUUUCUGCCACCCCUCCCCCAUAAGUAAACGCAAACUAUUUCUAGAACUCUCAACGAUAAUUUGGGAAGCCUGCCAUCAACUCCCAUGAUACAAUCCAACUGAUACACGGUGUAUUUUUUUUCAUAAAGACAAAGCUGCCCUACUUCCCUAGACUAUAAACUUAUUAAAAUGGUGAGAACACACAGUCCCAGGAAGUCAGGAUUACUGAAAUACACCAAGAAGAAAGAGCCUUAUUUAACAAAAACCAACAUGAAUCACACUGAGAAAGCACAAAAAGUCGCUCACUGUCUGCAAUGUGCAAUCACACUAUUUACUCCAGGUCCUGUUGGUAAGUGGCUAAAAUCACCAGGACAGGGCCUUGUAUUACACAAACUGGUCAAGGCCUCUGAGGGGAAAUGAGGGACGAUGAUUAUUUAACUUUAUCUGUGGGGGUGCAUUCAGUCUAGAGACUCUCUUCACCUAGCCUAUUUUAUUAACAUGUUUAUUAGAUCAGCCUUAAGGUUCUGGUUUGGGAAACGAGAAGUUCCUUUCACCCUCUGAAAAUCCACACAGGUAAAACUCUUCACCCUUGCUUUCUUUUCUGCAAAAGGCCAAGACUGUAAGGAAACUCCAGACACUGAGAAAUAGCUCAUUUUAACUAGGUCUCGACACUUCUCAUGAGUGUAGGCAGGAAAUUAUUUUACAGAGCGUUAGAUAACCUAACAAAGAGAGCAUUUCUCAAAACCCAUCACACAGCCCAACAUUUCCAGCCUCCAUUUAAUGCCGGUUGCCUCUGGAAAGUGAUGCCAGUUUCAGCACAUUUAGGAACUUCCAGAACAGGCUGACCACCAUUAACGCACGCAGGCAGGGCCCCCCUCCUCGAGCCUGCCACUCAGGAUGAAUGCUUCCCCUAAAA